rnacentral:misc_RNA from 1 species
GGUUGGAUCAUUAUCACGUAUUACACGUUUUAUCAACCAACGCGAACUGUUGACUAACCCCUUUCUAUGUUGUGUUCACUAUGGGUUUUCUAUCGAAGAUUGAGACAAGUGUUUCAAGGGACUAUGCUAGAGACAGAAUUAUAUCAAGCUUCUUUCAUUUCAAGUGAUUUAGUGCUUGUUUUUGUAUCUCUUUGAUUUUAGUACUCCACGGUUUUGCGAACCGCAAUCUUUGUAAAAACUCGAACUCCUAAAAGGGCGUAAAAACCAAACCACUUGAUAUUAACAAUUCUUAUAAACUUUGAACUAACUUAUUUCUUUCUCUUUCAACGGAGAAGAAAUUAAAUACGAAAAAUUAAAAACAACUCUUAGCAACGGAUAUCUUGGUUCUCGUAACGAUGAAGAACGCAGCGAAAUGCGAUACGUAAUGCGAAUUGCAGAAUUCAGUGAAUCAUCAAAUCUUUGAACGCAAAUUGCGCUUUCUGGAUAGGCCAGGGAGCAUGCCUCUUUGAGUAUCGUUUCUACAUACCUCUUUAAGUUCCUUGUGUUCUCACGAACGCAGGUCGAGCCUAAAGGAUAUUGAGUUUCUCAUUCUAACGAUUGAGUUUCUUUUAAUAGUGCGAGUUUUAACCCUCCUAGUGUGCUCUGAUUUCUUUCGGGAAAGCAGAUUAACAAUUACUAGUUGACGUGGAUAAUAAUAACAUUUACGUCAAUCAUUAGUUGCGAAUACAUCUAGUUUGAUGAAUCUAAACUCGGUGGAAAUUAACCUAAUUUGAAUUAGAUCUCAAAUGAAGCAAGAUUACCCGCUGAACUUAAGCAUAUUAUUAAGCGGAGGAAAAGAAACUAACAAGGAUGCCCUCAGUAACGGCGAGUGAAGCGGGCAAAGCUCAACCUGAAAAUCGGGUUCCUUAACGGGAUCUCGAAUUGUGGGCUAGAGACGUGUGAUCAGUGUGUGACCCAGGUAUAAGUCUCUUUGAAACGAGGCAUCAUAGAGGGUGAGAAUCCCGUCUGUGACUUGGAGCUCGCCGCGUACGAUCCGCGUUCGCAGAGUCGCGUUGUUUGGGAUUGCAGCGCUAAAUGGGUGGUAAAUUUCAUCUAAAGCUAAAUAUCGACGAGAGACCGAUAGCGAACAAGUACCGUGAGGGAAAGAUGAAAAGAACUUUGAAAAGAGAGUUAAAAAGUACUUGAAAUUGCUAAGAGGGAAGCACUGGAAACCAGUCGUGACUCGCGUGUAUAUUUACCAUCUGCUUUUGGAUUGACGGGAUUUCGAGAGCCCAAAGCCUCGUAUUUCGGCAUGAAGUGAGUGGGUGUUCCCUGUACUGUGAGUUGAGUCAUCAUCAAUUCGAUCCGUGAGAGAAAGCUAUCAUAACGGUAGGACCGCGGGAGCAAUUCCAAGGUCUGUUUAGUAUGGUAGUGCUAUCAUGGGCUGGAUUGAGGUUAACAUUCAAACGCGCGCCACUAGGUAUCCGUUCCCUGACUCUGGAGGCUUAAUAGGCGUGGACAACAAAGUUGUGCUGUCUGUGAAGGUUUCUACUAGAAAGGAUGAACGAGAAGCUGCGUUCGAGAUGAUGACGAAAUGGUUUUCAUUGACCCGUCUUGAAACACGGACCAAGGAGUCUAACAUAUAUGCGAGUAUUUGGGCCUGGAAACCCUUAUGCGCAAUGAAAGUAAAGAAAGCCUAGCUUUUGAGGUACGAACCUGUGUCCUCGGACAUAGGGGCAGUAUCGACCGAUCGUCACUUGUGGAAGAUUUGAGUAUGAGCAUAUCUGUUGGGACCCGAAAGAUGGUGAUCUAUGCCUGAACAGGGCGAAGCCAGGGGAAACUCUGGUGGAGGCUCGUAGCGAUACUGACGUGCAAAUCGUUCGUCUGAUUUGGGUAUAGGGGCGAAAGACUAAUCGAACCAUCUAGUAGCUGGUUCCCUC